GAUGAACGCUAGCGGCAGGCCUAAUACAUGCAAGUCGAGGGAGAAUGUUGGAUUCGUCUGACAUGAAACCGGCGCACGGGUGCGUAACACGUAUGCAACCUACCUUUAACUGGGGUAUAGCUCAGAGAAAUCUGAAUUAAUCCCCCAUAAGACUACGACAUGGCAUCAUGAUGUAGUUAAAGCUCCGGCGGUUAAGGAUGGGCAUGCGGUACAUUAGCUAGUUGGUGAGGUAAUGGCUCACCAAGGCUACGAUGUAUAGGGGGUCUGAGAGGAUGAUCCCCCACACUGGUACUGAGACACGGACCAGACUCCUACGGGAGGCAGCAGUAGGGAAUAUUGGUCAAUGGACGCAAGUUUGAACCAGCCAUGCCGCGUGAAGGAUGAAGGCCCUAUGGGUCGUAAACUUCUUUUAUUAGGGAAGAAAAAACGGGAUGCGUCCUGUACUGACGGUACUUAAUGAAUAAGGAUCGGCUAACUUCGUGCCAGCCGCCGCGGUAA
rnacentral:rRNA from 1 species